rnacentral:misc_RNA from 1 species
AAGUCGUAACAAGGUAACCGUAGGUGAACCUGCGGUUGGAUCAUUACAAAAAUGUGAUUGUGCACUUCUUUCCGUAUGGAGGGAGGCACGAAUCCAAACCCCUUGUGAACUGUUAUUCGUACUUGGCAAGUGAUGCGCUUGUUGGUAUUCAGUUGAAUAUUCAACGAGUGUCCAGAGUUUCAAAUGGGCCUCCCAUUUGAAAGCUUGUCUUUUUCUUAAACCAAUUCUACUAUUUGUCUGAUCUAUAAAAAUUCAAAUUAUGAAACAACUUUUGGCAACGGAUCUCUUGGCUCUC